rnacentral:lncRNA from 1 species
AGACCAUCACAAAAAAAAUUAACAGCAGCCUAAUUGGCAGUCUGGCACCCAUGAAGCACUUGCUGCCUCCUUGAUCGUCUGGUGGUCUCAAAGAAAUCCGUCGAGGUUGGCAGAGAAAAAUGUAUCAUUUUCCGCCCGUAUUAUUAUGAUUAAACGCCUGCCACCUCCAAUCCAACCAUCCGACCAAGAAGAGACCGGGC